AAGUUUUCCUGGGCAAAUCAUCAACGAUGUACAAGUCAGGCAUAGCCAGCCAAUGACUUGUUUAAACUGGUUUCGGAUUGUAUGGUCCAUAUCAAACAAGUUUCGGCUUCCAUACUCCAAAACUGUUAAAAAUAAAGAUGUUCGGAUUGUACAGUCCAAACCCAGGUUUUCCAGGGCAAAACAUCACGUACAAGGCAGGCAUAACCAGCCAAUUGCUUGUUUAAACUGAUUUCGGAUUGUA
rnacentral:lncRNA from 1 species